CAAUUAGUGUAUUUUACAUUUCUUUCUCCUUAUAUGUUUCUUUUUAGUAAUAAUAACAAGAUUUUAAAAUCUCACUGUUUUCAAAGCUCUUCUACAUAGGUUUUCUUAACUGAUCUCACAGCACUAUCUGAUAUAAACAUUAGCUCUUUUUCACAUAAGAGAACACAGAGGCUCAUUCUAGAACCCACACUAGAUUCUGGUCACCAGGGCUACCUCUCAUCCUGUGGUAAUCCCAUUAGACUGACUAUUGGAAUAGCUGAUUCAUAUGGAAACACAGCUAAAAAUAGUGAACAGACUCUAAGAUCACCAUAUAACGAUCUAGGGGACUCUUGAUUUUGGCUCAGGUCAUGAUCUCAGGAUCGUGGGAUCAUGUCACGGGAUCAAGCCCCAGAGCUCUUUCCAGAGGACCCAACUAAAGACUCUUGGUUACAGCAACGGUUUCGGGGAAGUAGACUCUGAUAUGGGAUUUUGGAGCUAGAUUGCCCACUGGCCAGCCGGCAAUGAGGACCCCACCGAGGGUGGUAAGUAGAAAACUGAUACCCUGGUACAUGGUAUGGGUCAACCGUCAAAGGGUUCAGCGAUGGUGAACUGGGAUAGGAUGACAGGAAAGGCAGUGCACAGGCUCAGGCAUCUGAGAGGUGCAGUGGGCAUCCCUGUUAUCAGGACUACGGAAUAGGGGAAACCUGAUUCAUCGAGGGAGACAGACUUCACUGCAGAAGUGACUGGAGUUCAAGCCAACACUAAGGGGUAUGUGUGUGAGGGGGAAGAAUGGUUACAAAAGAGCCUUCCAGACAAAGGAAAUAGCAUCUACAGAACCUUUGGUACAGAAACGUGCCUGGCACUGAGGGGAACUGAGAGUGGCCGAUAAAUCUCUAGAGAGUGGAAAUGAAAGAGGGGAAGAAAGGAACCAGAUGAGGCUGGAGGCAAAGGCAGGGGACAAGUCACAGCACAAUAGAGACUGUUGUUAUCUUAAGAGUGAUGAUAAACCACUGAAGGGUUUGAAGCAAGAAAGCUACAAGAAGAGAUUUGCCUUAAAAAAAGAAAAAUCUCUUCUGCUAUUUGUGAACCGAUUGGAGAGAACGAAAAUGUACAGGAGGAAAGGCUGUCUGCACUGCUCAAGAACCCAAAGUCAGUUUUGUGCAGGAACAGUAAGUGAUCCCACAUUGUGAAGAGGUCUGUGCAGUGAGUCCGUGCACUCGUGAAGGUAGAUGGAGUGGCCCAUGCUGGGAUGCGGUGAUUCUCUCUAGAGCCUUCUUCACUCACCGAGCUGUCAAACCACCCUCUCGGGUGAUGGGAAGGCCAACGCAUCUCCACUUACUGGUUGACGUCAACAGAAACAACCUGGGCCAUUUCCCUUUAGUUUAAGAUUUUAAUCUCUGUUUAGACACUAGAAGGUGGGCUCCACUGUUAACAGAGACUUAAUGUCCUUUGUCACUGCUGUGUCCCCAGCUCUUAAAACAGUGCUCAGUCUUAGAAGGUGGUACUCAAUAAAUAGUUGUUGAACAAUUGAAUAAGUGAGUUUUAAAGGAAAUACUCCUAAUGGGGGCAUAGCAAAUGCCUAUAUUUAUACCUUGAUAUGAAGGAUAAAUAUGAGUAUAGGCUUAAAGGGGCAGGAGGGAAGCAGUGGGUCAGAAGGCUGUAGCAACUUGCCUACUUUAUUGUUUCUAUGUGUGGAUAAGUAUGGGAGGCAAACAGGUAAUGUCUUCGGUUGAACAGCUUAAUGGGACUGGCUGAAGAUACACUUUUGAGUCAGGCUGUAACCUCGAGCUGUUAAGUUCUUUCAAGUGAGAGCAACUGUCAUGUUCUGACAUGACCUACUCAUUAAGCCCUACUUGUCAUUUCCUGUUUUGUUUUGUUUUAAUGGAAGGAUCUUAGAGUUAUCUUCGAAUGUAAUCUAAACCAGUUGUGAAACCCAAAUAACUCCUUGUCCUUGCUUCCAAGUCUGGGCCUGUAGAAGAGUCAGUCACUCUUGAAUGAAAGAUAAAUGGCACUUCUGUUCCUCCUGGCAUAUGCGUUCCUGCUCCUGAGCCUGGCUGUAAGGCUGAGACCCGAGUGGAGAGCCGCCCUCGAGAUCCCUCACGUCUUCUACACCUUUCUGUGCCGCUCAGAACCGAACAUCAAUUUUAUGGAGGAACAGUAAGUGGUCCCAUAUUGAGGAAGCCUGCACAGGUGAGUCCGUGCCCUCUGUCACGGUUGUAAACUAACACAUUACAUAUUCACGCACAGAGGGACUAGGGAGGACACCCCACUCCAGAGCGUGAGCGAACAGUGACAUCCAGUGGCAAGCGGGGUGCAUUUCUGACGUGCGUGCGGUGCACACGAGGAUGAGGCUCACUCUUCUCCCUAGAUGCUCACUUCGGCUUUGUCCUUCCAACCUCGGAACCCUCUGAAACUCCAGGAAGAUUCCCAUUUCAGACCAACCGGGUUCUACCAAUCAUAUUUAUCUUUCCUCAUUUCUGGAUUUUUCUUUCGGCCUAAUCAUUCAUCUCGCCAGAGUUGCAAUGUUUUAAAUUGCAUCAAAAAUGUAAGAGAUGUUAAUGUUCAACAGAUGAGAAAAUGUAAAAUUCCAAAAUUAUAUUUGUUCUUGGUUUUGAGACCAAGCUUUGUCAUUCCUUCAACAGAUGGUCAUCAUGUACCUACUAGGUGCCAAGCAGUGAGCAACAGAAGAAUUCUUACCCUCUUGGAGGUUACAUUCUUACCGGAGAAGACAAGACAGUAAUAUACAUACAUAUAUAGACAUUUCAAGUCAUCUUAAGUGCUGAAAGAAAGAAAGAAAGAAAGAAAGAAAGAGAAGAAGGAGGAGGGGGGAAGGAAGGAAGGAAGGAAGGAAGGAAGGAAGGAAGGAGGGGGAAAAAGAAACAAGAGAAACAAGCUCUUGGAUUGGUUUGUUAGUGCUGCCGUCACAAAGGAUACGUGGCCAGUACUCCUUAAGACCGCCAUGGUCUUGCAAAACACAGAAAAAUUGAGAAAGUAUCACAGACCAGAGGAGACUGAGGAAACAUGUCAACAUGGUACCCUACAUUGGAUCCUGGAAGAGCAAUGGAAAAAAAUCAGAGAAAUCCAAAUACAGUCUGAAGUUUACUGAACAGUAAUAUGCCAGUGUGACUUGCUUAGUUUAGAAAAUUUACUGUGGUAAUGUAACUGGGUGAGAAGUAUGCAAAUUCCUUGUACUGCCUUUGCAAAUUUUCUGUACAAAAGUCCAUAAAUAAAAACAAAAAAGUUUAUUUUUUUUAAUGUGGUAUUCGUCUCAAAAUAAACAAAUAGAUAAAUGAGAAGAAUAGAGAUCCAGAAAUAGACCCAUACACAUAUGGUCAACAGAUUUCCAAAAAAAAAAGUGACCAAAGCAAUUUCACGUGGACUGAAAAUCUUUUCAACAAAUAGAACAGAAAUAAAGGAUAAUUGAGAUAAAGAAUUAAUCUCUGAGAUGAAGAAUUAAUCUCUACUUUUUCCUGAUAGCAUCCAUAAAAACUAACUUACAGUGUAUUGUGGAUUUAAUUGUAAAAGGUAAAACUACAAAAUUUCUAGAAAACAUUUUCAACUUUGGAAUACACAAAGAUUUCUGAAGAUGAGACACUAAAACACAACCAUAAAGGAAAAGAUUGAAAAAAUAGACUUUCUCAAAAUUACAAAUUUUGCUCUUGCAGACAUGAUUGUAAAAACUAAAAGGCAAGCCAUGAACUGGGAGAAAAUAUUUGCAACAUACAUAUCUGAUAUCCACAAUACAUAAAGGACUCUUACAACCCAAUAACAAGCAAUAACCCAAAGGCCCAUCAACAGAAGAAUGGACAAAUCAAAUGUGGUAAAUUCAUAUAACGGAAUGUCAGGGAAACAGUGAUCCAUGAAUAUUUUCAACUUCUGGACAGUCUGUCUUCUUAAGCAAAGGAAAAAGGCACACCAUAGAAUGUCUCCUCUUCCUUGACUCAUCUGCUCCUUACAAUUGCAAGGGGGUUAGACCUGGAGCCAUAUGUUCUCAUUCAGAAGAUGAUAAAACUUACCUCCUCCAGAGCCAAAUGUCUGCGGUCCAAGGUAGGGACUUUCCCCUUUGCCUUCCUGAAAGAAUUCAUUUACUCUCCAAAGUAUUUGUUAACCUUAGAGACAAAGAGUUUCUCUCCCUCUCUCAGAAAGACGGGACAGCAGCUAAGCAGUGUGUCGUCAAUCUAAGCUUCCAGAUUAUAAUAAUAUUGGGUUUCCUCUCCUGUAGUGCAUGCACAGAACCCACCUAGCUCUCACCACGUCUCCCCAGAAGAGAGAGAGAGGAAUGGAGCGAGGGAACAGACGCAGUUAUUGCUGUAGGUAAUACUAAUAACUCUGAUCUCUGCCCUGGAAACCUGGUAUUUGCUUUUGGCAUAAAAAUGAACAGACAUUAACAACUUAUCAUGGAACACUCCUAGCAAUUAAAAACAAAACAAAACAAAACAAAAC